UACGUAGGGGGCAAGCGUUGUCCGGAAUCAUUGGGCGUAAAGAGCGUGUAGGCGGCCAGAUAAGUCCGCUGUGAAAUCUCGAGGCUCAACUUCCGAGCUGUCGGUGGAAACUGUCUGGCUAGAGUCCGGAAGAGGAGAAUGGAAUUCCUGGUGUAGCGGUGAAAUGCGCAGAUAUCAGGAAGAACACCCGUGGCGAAGGCGGUUCUCUGGGACGGUACUGACGCUGAGACGCGAAAGCGUGGGGAGCGAACAGG
rnacentral:rRNA from 1 species